rnacentral:rRNA from 1 species
UACGUAGGUGGCAAGCGUUGUCCGGAUUUACUGGGCGUAAAGAGCGCGCAGGCGGUCGUUCAAGUCGGAUGUGAAAGCCCCCGGCUCAACUGGGGAGGGUCAUUCGAUACUGAUCGACUCGAAGGCAGGAGAGGGUAGUGGAAUUCCCGGUGUAGUGGUGAAAUGCGUAGAUAUCGGGAGGAACACCAGUGGCGAAGGCGACUACCUGGCCUGUUCUUGACGCUGAGGCGCGAAAGCUAGGGGAGCAAACGGG